rnacentral:lncRNA from 1 species
GCCAACCAUUCCCUCAGUUGAGGAGAGUUUCCUGGAUCAUCCAGGUGCUCCCAAAGUCAUCACAGGGGUCCCCGUGAGUAGAAGACGGAAGCAGGAAAGAGUCACCAUCAGGUGACAUGGGAAUGACUCAACCUGCCAUUGCUGGUUUUGAAGAUCCAGGGAGGGGCCACUGUCAAGGAAUGAAGCAGUUUCUAGAAGCCUGAAAAGCCAAGAGCACAGAUUCACCCUCGAGGCCCCAGAAGGAAGCAGUCCUGCCAACACCUUGACCCUCGCUCAGGGAGACCCGGUUUGGACUUCCACCCUCUGGAACUGUGAGAUGAUACAUUUGUGUUGUGUUAAGCCACUAAGUCUGUGGGAAUCUGUUAUUGCAGUGACAGGAAAUCAAUAAGAAGAGAAGGCCCCAAAUCCGUAGAUGUGGGGAGCCAGGGCAACACGCCAAGGCUGAACGCUGGCUGCAGGGCCCACCUUGGGGAAACUUGGGGGAGCUACUCCUCCCUCACGGCAGCCAUGGCAUUAGGGGGAGCUGUCAGUCACUGGGCUUGGAGCACACAGCUACACUUCUGGAGGACUUCUGGGCCACAAAUUAGAAUAUGAAGAGACAGAAGAAAAUAGACUCUCAACACCACAGAAAAAAAGCUUUCUUAUGUGAGUAUCCAUUUUGUUUGCCUGAUCUCAGAAGAUGGAGUUGAUAAGGUCUUUGCCCAGCGUCCAGGAAGAAUGAGGUCACUCGGACUUG